rnacentral:rRNA from 1 species
AUUGAACGCUGGCGGCAUGCCUUACACAUGCAAGUCGAACGGUAGAGGGGGCAACCCCUCGAGAGUGGCGAACGGGUGAGUAAAGCAUCGGAACGUGCCCAGUAGUGGGGGAUAGCCCGGCGAAAGACGGAUUAAUACCGCAUGAGACCUACGGGUGAAAGGGGGGGAUCGCAAGACCUCUCGCUAUUGGAGCGGCAGAUGUCAGAUUAGGUAGUUGGGGGGGUAAAGGCCUACCAAGCCGACGAUCUGUAGCUGGUCUGAGAGGACGACCAGCCACACUGGGACUGAGACACGGCCCAGACUCCUACGGGAGGCAGCAGUGGGGAAUUUUGGACAAUGGGCGAAAGCCUGAUCCAGCCAUGCCGCGUGCGGGAAGAAGGCCUUCGGGUUGUAAACCGCUUUUGUCAGGGAAGAAAUCCUUUGAGUUAAUACCUCGGGGGGAUGACGGUACCUGAAGAAUAAGCACCGGCUAACUACGUGCCAGCCGCCGCCGUAAAAC